rnacentral:rRNA from 1 species
GAUGAACGCUAGCUACAGGCUUAACACAUGCAAGUCGAGCGACCGGCGCACGUGUGAGUAACACGUAUCCAACCCUCCCUUUACUCGGUGACUGCCUUUCGAAAGAAAGAUUAAUACCCAACAUGAAGUGUGGGGAUGCGUUCGAUUUGGGUGUUGGUGAGGUUACGGCUCACCAAGCCUUCGAUGGAUAGGGGUUAUGAGAGGAAGGUGCACCGCAAUGUAACUGAGACACGGUCCAAACUCGUACGGGAGGCAGCAGUGAGGAGUAUUGGUCAAUGGGGGCUAGCCUGAACCAGCCAAGUAGCGUGAAGGAUGAAGGCUUAUGGGUCGUAAACUUCUUUUAUAUAAGAAGAUGUAUUAUAUGAAGAAGGACCGGCUAACUCCGUGCCAGCAGCCGCGGUAAUAC